rnacentral:rRNA from 1 species
UGCGUAGGUGGCAAGCGUUGUCCGGAAUUACUGGGCGUAAAGGGCGUGUAGGCGGCCUUUUAAGUCAGACGUGAAAUCCCUGGGCUUAACCCAGGACCUGCGUUUGAAACUGGAGGGCUUGAGGACCGGAGAGGGUAGUGGAAUUCCCAGUGUAGCGGUGAAAUGCGUAGAUAUUGGGAGGAACACCAGUGGCGAAGGCGACUGCCUGGACGGCACCUGACGCUGAGGCGCGAAAGCUAGGGGAGCAAACGGG